rnacentral:lncRNA from 1 species
AACAUUGAGUCAAGCAAUUGACUUUGCUGUGAAGUGGGACAAUUGACUUUUUGAAUUUCAAUCUAAGAACCGUACAAGUGGACUUCAACGUUACUAUAAUUCAAUGGCAACACCAACAUCUCUUCAACACAUACAUUCGGAAGUAGGGGAUAUGUAAAUUGAUGCGGUACGCUAAACCCUAAACCUUAAAUCUUAAACCUCUUAUUGAGCAAGAAAAGACUCAUCGUCGUGAGGAAGGAUUGUGCUUAUAUUGUGGAGAACCUAAGCACACUACUCAACAUUACCCAAAGAAGCGAUACAACCAUAAAAUAAAGAGUAGGACAAUCAAAGAAGAUAGUAUGUCGAAAAACGAAUUUGUCCAGCUAUAAUAGGGACCAUGUGGUUGAAACCUUAUACAAUGCCUAGUAA